GGAGAGUGAAGGGUGCCUGGUGGCCCCCGCGGUCUUCAAAACCGUUGUGCCGGCGCGAUCCGUCGGCAGGAGUGUUCGAUCCGCUCCCUCUCCGCCA
rnacentral:tRNA from 2 species